rnacentral:rRNA from 1 species
CCUACGGGAGGCAGCAGUGGGGAAUAUUGCGCAAUGGGCGAAAGCCUGACGCAGCGACGCCGCGUGAGGGAUGAAGGCCUUCGGGUUGUAAACCUCUUUCAGCAGGGACGAAAACAGACGGUACCCGCAGAAGAAGCACCGGCCAACUACGUGCCAGCAGCCGCGGUAAUACGUAGGGUGCAAGCGUUGUCCGGAAUUAUUGGGCGUAAAGAGCUCGUAGGCGGUUUGUCGCGUCGGCUGUGAAAACUCGGGGCUCAACCCCGAGCCUGCAGUCGAUACGGGCAGACUAGAGUGCUGUAGGGGAGACUGGAAUUCCUGGUGUAGCGGUGAAAUGCGCAGAUAUCAGGAGGAACACCGGUGGCGAAGGCGGGUCUCUGGGCAGUAACUGACGCUGAGGAGCGAAAGCGUGGGGAGCAAACAGGAUUAGAUACCCUGGUAGUCCACGCCGUAAACGGUGGGUGCUAGGUGUAGGUCGUAUUCCACGCGAUCUGUGCCGCAGCUAACGCAUUAAGCACCCGCCUGGGGAGUACGGCCGCAAGGCUAAAACUCAAAGAUAGUGCGNGNGAGAGCGACGACGACGACGAGGAGGAGGAG